rnacentral:rRNA from 1 species
GAUGAACGCUGGCGGCGUGCCUAAUACAUGCCAGUCGAGCGAACAGACGAGGAGCUUGCUCCUCUGACGUUAGCGGCGGACGGGUGAGUAACACGUGGAUAACCUACCUAUAAGACUGGGAUAACUUCGGGAAACCGGAGCUAAUACCGGAUAAUAUAUUGAACCGCAUGGUUCAAUAGUGAAAGACGGUUUUGCUGUCACUUAUAGAUGGAUCCGCGCCGCAUUAGCUAGUUGGUAAGGUAACGGCUUACCAAGGCAACGAUGCGUAGCCGACCUGAGAGGGUGAUCGGCCACACUGGAACUGAGACACGGUCCAGACUCCUACGGGAGGUAGCAGUAGGGAAUCUUCCGCAAUGGGCGAAAGCCUGACGGAGCAACGCCGCGUGAGUGAUGAAGGUCUUCGGAUCGUAAAACUCUGUUAUUAGGGAAGAACAAAUGUGUAAGUAACUAUGCACGUCUUGACGGUACCUAAUCAGAAAGCCACGGCUAACUACGUG